rnacentral:rRNA from 1 species
GACGAACGCUGGCGGCGUGCCUAAUACAUGCAAGUUGAGCGAUGAAGAUUGGUGCUUGCACCAAUUUGAAGAGCAGCGAACGGGUGAGUAACGCGUGGGGAAUCUGCCUUUGAGCGGGGGACAACAUUUGGAAACGAAUGCUAAUACCGCAUAACAACUUUAAACAUAAGUUUUAAGUUUGAAAGAUGCAAUUGCAUCACUCAAAGAUGAUCCCGCGUUGUAUUAGCUAGUUGGUGAGGUAAAGGCUCACCAAGGCGAUGAUACAUAGCCGACCUGAGAGGGUGAUCGGCCACAUUGGGACUGAGACACGGCCCAAACUCCUACGGGAGGCAGCAGUAGGGAAUCUUCGGCAAUAGACGAAGGUCUGACCGAGCAACGCCGCGUGAGUGAAGAAGGUUGUCGGAUCGUAAAACUCUGUUGGUAGAGAAGAACGUUGGUGAGAGUGGAAAGCUCAUCAAGUGACGGUAACUACCCAGAAAGGGACGGCUAACUACGUG